CUGGCAGCAUUGCAUUGUGGUAGCAGGGGGUGCACUGUCUAGCGUUGGACAGUAAAAUACUCAAGUAGAGCAUGCAUCAGGGCACAGUACAACCUAAUGGUUUAAUUUGUUUUUUGUAGCAAAAUGGUUUAAGUUUUAUAUCUGAAUUAAUUAUUGUUUUUUUGCUUUGUUUUACAGAUCAUUACUGAACAUGCUGAUGAAAUAUUGAUUUAUAAAAUAUCAUGUUACCAAGAUGACAUGCCUCGAAGAGCAAUUGACAUGAGGGAAUACCUCUAUUUCUAUCAAAUUACAACAAUACACCAAAGACAGUAGUUUUCGGAUGAAAUGAAAGGAUUUAUCAAAUGUUCAUGGCCAGCAGUGGAUAUUUGUGACUAUAAUAAAUGGAUACAAAGAAACUAUGAUGGAUAAAUAUGGCCCCGUAAUGGAUAUUCAGUUAAUGGACAUAGAAAGGUCACAGAAAUGUCUAUUUUCAGGUACUGUUCUUUCUUGUUUGCCUGCGAACAGGCUGUAGAUACUUGUAUCCAGGCCAUUGUUUGUUCUGGGUACAAUGAAAUCCGGCAUAAAUCCUGGCGGUCUAAAUGUUCAGUGUAUUUACAAAUUCCAUCUAUUUUCUGUUCAGUAGACUUUGAUAGCUUGAACGAAAGUUUAUAACGAUGAUUUUCUCUGCAAAAACUGUACUUUUGAAAUUCGUCAGCUUCUGAAUUUGAUAACCGAUCUGGAAAAAAAAAGGGAACAAUUUGAGUGCAUGGUUAUUGCAUGGUUCUAUAUAUAUUCUAUAUACUGCCUUUGUGCACACGCAUAACAAGUACAGCAACGCAACAGUUUAGACAGGGUCAUGAGGCAGGAUGUGUACAAGAAAAGCUUUGCCAGAGUUUUGUCUUUUGAAAUAGAACGACGAUUGGAAAUUGCUGUUUGAUUCUUUGUAAUAUCUUGUCGCUUGUUAGUGAAAAAGAAAUUUGUCACUUUCCUCAUCUAAACCUUUUUUCAAAAAACUGGCAUGGUUUGUCUUGGGGUUAGGGGGUACAAAUGGUACCCAUAGCUUAGAGGGUGCAAAUGGUACCCGUAAGAAGACUUGGUGGAAAUCAUGUUGGUCGUUUGGAUCGGCGAGAAUAAGACAAUUAUGGUGGCAAAGUUUUUUAAAACAUUUUCUCUCCCGUAGUAAGGUAAAGCAUGUAUUUUCCUGGUAGCCGGUCUUACUUCAUGAAAAAACAGUCCGCUACCAGUGACUAGGUCCCCUCUCUUAUGGCGGUUAUUCCGGCUCAAUAUCUUCAGGGAUAUUCCUUUUCAGGGCGGUUGCAUGCGGAUAAUAUGGUCCGUCGCGUGCGCAAAAUAGUUAGGGAGUUAGACAGUUUAGAAGCGUCCAAACUGCGCAAUAUACGACACUCACAUGAAACGUAAAAUACUUUAUAAUAAUUCACAAAAUUGCGAAAACAAAAAAUUGACAAUUUUGCAAUUUGAAUUGUGCGUUUCCGGCAAAUGCCUUUAGAUUCAAGUUGUAACGACAAUUUACAAGCGCAUUAAGUGUAAAUACGGCAUUAUUUCUAAUGAAAAGACCGCCAGGGUUAGAGUGUUUUUAUGUGGUUUGUUAAGGAGCAAACUCGCUUUUUAAAAAAAGAAAUGUGUAUAUUAAUUUCGAUCCAGAUUUGUUCCUGAACAUGGUCGCCAUGAAAACACUCUGUAGAGCAAGCUCAGCGACGUACGGUCAUAAUAGCGUCGUCGGAAGUUUGCAUUCAGCAUUUUCGUUCAAAAUUGAACGUACAUUAUGCUAUGCUAGGGUUGCGUACAAUCGGUACCCACACGAUGUGUAGCAAUUCUAAAGGAAUAACUAAUACGUAUAAAUAGGGUGUGCGCACGAAGUUUUUUUCGCAGGCCUUAAUAACUUCGGGGAAAAUAAUAAAAAAAGCAGUGUCCGUGGUCGGGGCUGAAUAGUACUGUGGAAGAUUGGGUUGGAAAAUUUGCAAUUAAGAUCUGUAUUUUUGGGCAAUUGUUACUUUUUGAAAAAUAGUAUCCUACUGAU
rnacentral:lncRNA from 1 species